rnacentral:lncRNA from 1 species
CUCUCUCUCUCUCUCUCUCUCGGUCUCUAAUCUGAUAUCCUCUCCGGUUCUGGAACUUUCUUUAUGGUUUUUUAUAAAUGUGAAAAUUACGAAACGAAACGACGAGUUUUAAGCGUGUUUUAGUUUUGGCGAUGGAGGUUCAAGAGCGUUCCAGGUGAAAUCGAAACGGAGAACGAAAUGAGUACGAACUUCCGCUGGUCAGCAAUUUAAACGACACUUCCUUGCGAGAAGAAGAUUAAGUGACAAGCAAAGAACCGAAUUACGUGACGGUGAAAUCUGAUUGGCUGAUGCUUUUGUUGACUUAAGUCAGCGCGUGCUUUGAUUCGCUUGUGACUUCGACAAAUUUGCGGAGAGACUUCUGGUUGACCCAUUUGAGGGUCAUUUCUUGGACGGACAUUUGGAUUGGUG